UUUUAUAUUAGAAAAAUCCCAACAGAUUUUUAAUUGAUAUCAAACUAAAAUUACAAAGGCAAUAUAGAAAAUUUUUGAAUAACAAAUUAUUACAUAUAUAUAUAUAUAUAUAUAUAUGUGGAGAAAAAUGAUAAAGUAAAUCCCAACUUAUUAAAAUAAAUCAGACCAAACUUCAACUCACAAAUGAACCAUUUAAAUCUCACGUUGUCUUCUAAACACAAAUAAAUAUCAAAUUCUCGUUGACCAAGCCAUUUUAGCUACAUGAAUAGUCAAUGUUAUAACAUUGUCAAUCUACGUUAACAUCGUAAGAGUAUUAUCCCAAAAUCUCUAACUUUCAAACUGAAGCAAAAAAAAAAUUCAACUCUUCAAUAAGCCAUUUUAACCUUUGAAUAUUACUUAGCCACAAGUAAAUCACUCGAUUUUAUUGGUCAAACCAAUCCAAA
rnacentral:lncRNA from 1 species